rnacentral:tRNA from 1 species
GCCUAGUUAGCUUAGUUGGUAGCGCGUCUGCCUCUUGUAAGCGCUAGGCCGCGGGUUCGAUUCCCGCCCGGGGCG